GGGUGCGAUCAUACCAGCGUUAAUGCACCGGAUCCCAUCAGAACUCCGCAGUUAAAGCGCGCUUGGGCUAGAUUAGUACUGGGAUGGGUGACCUCCCGGAAAGUCCUAGUGUUGCACCCU
rnacentral:rRNA from 1 species